UACGGAGGGGGCAAGCGUUAUCCGGAAUCACUGGGUUUAAAGGGUGCGUAGGCGGCUUAGUAAGUCAGGAGUGAAAGCCUGCGGCUUAACCGUAGAAAUGCUUUUGAUCCUGCUGAGCUUGAAUUAGGUUGAGGUGGGCGGAAUGUGACAUGUAGCGGUGAAAUGCAUAGAUAUGUCAUAGAACACCAGUUGCGAAGGCAGCUGACUGGACCUGAAUUGACGCUGAGGCACGAAAGCGUGGGGAGCGAACAGG
rnacentral:rRNA from 1 species